rnacentral:rRNA from 1 species
GAUGAACGCUGGCGGCGUGCCUAACACAUGCAAGUCGAACGGAACUAUUUUGGAAACUCCUUCGGGAGCGGAAUCUUUAGUUUAGUGGCGGACGGGUGAGUAACGCGUGAGCAAUCUGCCUUUAAGAGGGGGAUAACAGUCGGAAACGGCUGCUAAUACCGCAUAAAGCAUCAAAUUCGCAUGUUUUUGAUGCCAAAGGAGCAAUCCGCUUUUAGAUGAGCUCGCGUCUGAUUAGCUGGUUGGCGGGGUAACGGCCCACCAAGGCGACGAUCAGUAGCCGGACUGAGAGGUUGAACGGCCACAUUGGGACUGAGACACGGCCCAGACUCCUAUGGGAGGCAGCAGUGGGGAAUAUUGCGCAAUGGGGGAAACCCUGACGCAGCAACGCCGCGUGAUUGAAGAAGGCCUUCGGGUUGUAAAGAUCUUUAAUCAGGGACGAAACAAAUGACGGUAC